AUUGAACGCUGGCGGCAGGCUUAACACAUGCAAGUCGAGCGGGGUGAUGGUGCUUGCACUAUCACUUAGCGGCGGACGGGUGAGUAAUGCUUAGGAAUCUGCCUAUUAGUGGGGGACAACAUCUCGAAAGGGAUGCUAAUACCGCAUACGUCCUACGGGGGAAAGCAGGGGAUCACUUGUGACCUUGCGCUAAUAGAUGAGCCUAAGUCGGAUUAGCUAGUUGGUGGGGUAAAGGACUACCAAGGCGACGAUCUGUAGCGGGUCUGAGAGGAUGAUCCGCCACACUGGGACUGAGACACGGCCCAGACUCCUACGGGAGGUAGCAGUGGGGAAUAUUGGACAAUGGGGGGAACCCUGAUCCAGCCAUGCCGCGUGUGUGAAGAAGGCCUUAUGGUUGUAAAGCACUUUAAGCGAGGAGGAGGCUCUUUUGGUUAAUACCCAAGAUGAGUGGACGUUACUCGCAGAAUAAGCACCGGCUAACUCUGUGCCAGCCGCCGCGGUAA
rnacentral:rRNA from 1 species